GGGGCCUUAGCUCAGUUGGUAGAGCGCCUGCUUUGCAAGCAGGAUGUCAGGAGUUCGAAUCUCCUAGGCUCCACAA
rnacentral:tRNA from 12 species